rnacentral:rRNA from 1 species
UGAGGAAUAUUGGUCAAUGGGCGGGAGCCUGAACCAGCCAAGUAGCGUGAAGGAUGACGGCCCUACGGGUUGUAAACUUCUUUUAUAAGGGAAUAAAGUUCGCCACGUGUGGUGUUUUGUAUGUACCUUAUGAAUAAGCAUCGGCUAAUUCCGUGCCAGCAGCCGCGGUAAUACGGAAGAUGCGAGCGUUAUCCGGAUUUAUUGGGUUUAAAGGGAGCGUAGGCCGGCGCUUAAGCGUGCCGUGAAAUGUCCCGGCUCAACCGGGGCACUGCGGCGCGAACUGGGUGCCUUGAGUGCGCGGAACGUAUGCGGAAUUCGUGGUGUAGCGGUGAAAUGCUUAGAUAUCACGAAGAACUCCGAUUGCGAAGGCAGCAUACGGCAGCGCUACUGACGCUGAAGCUCGAAGGCGCGGGUAUCGAACAGGAUUAGAUACCCUGGUAGUCCGCGCGGUAAACGAUGGAUGCCCGCUGUUGGCGAUAUUACGGUCAGCGGCCAAGCGAAAGCGUUAAGCAUCCCACCUGGGGAGUACGCCGGCAACGGUGAAACUCAAAGGAAUUGACGGGGGCCCGCACAAGCGGAGGAACAUGUGGUUUAAUUCGAUGAUACGCGAGGAACCUUACCCGGGCUUGAACUGCAGGAGAACGAUCCAGAGAUGGUGAGGCCCUUCGGGGCUCCUGUGGAGGUGCUGCAUGGUUGUCGUCAGCUCGUGCCGUGAGGUGUCGGCUUAAGUGCCAUAACGAGCGCAACCCCUGUUCCCAGUUGCCAUCGGGUAAUGCCGGGCACUCUGUGAAGACUGCCUCCGUAAGGAGUGAGGAGGGUGGGGAUGACGUCAAAUCAGCACGGCCCUUACGUCCGGGGCUACACACGUGUUACAAUGGGUGGUACAGAAGGCCGGGGGCCGGCAACGUCCCUCCAAUCCUGAAAGCCACCCUCAGUUCGGACUGGGGUCUGCAACCCGACCCCACGAAGCUGGAUUCGCUAGUAAUCGCGCAUCAGCCAUGGCGCGGUGAAUACGUUCCC